GUUGUAUUAUAACGUAAUAUAUAUAACAAGGCAAACGUUAGAAUAUUACUACCCAGAGAAAAAUUACCAAUAGCAAAUAAUUUGUAUAAACAAAACAAAAUACAAAUAUUUCAGUUAUAUCAGAUAUGUGGCUUACAUUUGUACUGCGAAAGUCGUUUGCUAAUUUUUCAAACGUAUAACAUGUUUAACAUGAUUACAAAAAUUGAAGCUGCAUCUAGCAACACACAUGGUCCGAGACCACAUUUAUCGUCCUUUGAUUUUCGAUGUCGAAUAUAGUCCCUAGUGUGGACAGUGGGUUACCUGCCAACCUUGUUUUUAUACCCCUUCCAAAUUUAUUUCUUCAUGUGUUAUGCCUCAAAUAGCAAGCUAAGGAAAAGGGGGGGAUCAAAUUACACUGUAAAAUAAUUUGGGUCGUGAAUUGUAAAUUAAAGUAGUGAUUUGGUCCAGAUGAAAAAGGUUGAAUAUUAGCACUUUGGAAGCUGUCAACAGAUUCCAAGACCCCCUUAACAUAAAAUUGUUCAGAUUUUGAGUAAGAACCGAUGAAGUUUUCUAUAAUUUUGAUAUAAUUUAUCCUAUAUCAAGUAUAACACACUGUAAAAAUGUUACUAGAAAGCGCAGGUUGGAUUGUUUUAAUUUUCAUUUAUUGUCUAAAAGAAAUGCACUACGAAAUAAAUGUGGUCUCGGACCUCAAUUCAAGAAAAUGCAUGAAAAGUUAUCAAAGAUACCAGGGUUAUAAUUUGAUACACUAGACGCGCAUUUCGUCUUCAUCAGACGCAUCAUUAACGCUCAGAUCUAAAUAGUUAUAAUACCCAAACCAGUACACAGUUUAAGAGCAUUGAGAAAUUAAAAUUCCAAAAAGUUGUGACAAAUAUGGUUAAGGUAAUCUAAUACUUGGAUAAGAAAAUCCUUAGUCUUAGGAAAAAUUUUAAGUUUUGUAAACAGAAAAAUUACUACAAUGACCAUAUAAUUGAUAUACAUGUUAACACCCCAGUGCUGAGUACUUGACUGUUACCUUCGGGGACGAAACGUCCACCAGCAGUGGCAUCGACCCAGUGGUGUAAAUAGUUAUCAAAGGUUAUUAAAAUAAGCAUAUAAAGUAACACAAUCUUUUCGUGUAUUUAUUAAAAAAAAGCAAAAUCUUAUAAAAAUGUUACAAAAUAAGUAAUACAUUCUAACUUAGGUUGGCAAAAUUUUCCUUUGUUACAUUGAUAGAAGAAUAAUCAAGAUUUGAAAUGAAACAGUUUGAAUAUUGCCUACAUGUUAUUUCAUUAACUUAUUAUGCACAUUUUGACCAAUUUGCAUAUUUUGCCCCCAAAGAACCGGUUUUAGAAAAAUCACAAAAUAUUACAACAAUAUAAACUAAAUAUUGAAAAAAAUAAAAAAAUAAGAUAACCUUUGGUGUAUUAAAAAAAAUACGAGCGGGUUGCACUUUGUUCGACAAUAUAUAUCUGACUCCGAUAUAUGUUUAUUUAAUUGUUCUUGUAAAAAAUUGAAGAUAACAUACAAUGUCACAUAUUCAUUUUCUUAAACUUCUAUUAGUGAAAUCUAUAGAAGAAUAAAUAUAAUAUUAAUGAAAGUAAUAUAUAUCAACUAAAAUAUCAUAUUUCUAAACUCAUAAUACAUUAAAGGAUAUAAGCUUAAUAAAUCAUAUUUACCAUACCGUCAUAUAAAAAAUAAAAAGUAAAAUCAUAAAAAUACUGAUUUCCGAAGAAAAUUCAAAACGGAACGUCCCUAAUCCAAGUUUAACGAAAUUAAUUAAAGAUAGUAUACAAAUAGUGGUGAUGUAUUUUACUUUAUUCAUUGUUUUACAUGUACAUUAUAAAGGGAAUAUUGAUUCACAAAUUAAAACAAAAAUAUAUGUAAACGUACAAACAAUUCAGUACUAUUUUUAAGUAGCUGCAAUCAUUUUAAAUUUGAUAAUCCUAAUCAAACAUAUCGUAAUUAAGCACCUCAUCAAAUCGUCAUGUUAUACCUCGGAUUACUGAUUCAUAGGAGCAUUUCUUAUCAUGUAAAAUUUUAAUUUUUAUACAAAUAACUACAUGGUAAAUAUAAAAAGUGUACAAUAUGUAUUUGUAUAAUGUACAUCAGAAUAAAGAAUGCCCAUAAACACGAAGGCAUUUUAUAGAUCGGACAUGUGUUUCGUAGGAGCUUUGUAUGGGUUGCGUGUCAUUUGCAACUAAUACAUAUAGGUAUGCCAAUAUUAUACUUUCACUUGAUUCUUCAAUUUUACUCACAUAUGUUAUAUUGGUCUGGUUAAUUUGAAAGGACGGAAGAAAUACAGUAACUGGAUUUUGGCCACUCUAACACAAUGUUGGUGUCUCUACUAAAAAGGGGCGGAUACAGCCAUUUUAAAAAGGGGGUUCCAAAUCCAGGAUAAAGGGGGGAGGGGGUUCCAACUAUAUGUCCCCAUUCAAAUGCAUUGAUUGGCUAAAAAAAGGGUUUUCAACCACCGGCAACCCCGACCCCCUUGAAUCCGCAAUUGAUUAAAAGGUCAACUGCAAGUAAAAUUUGAUUUCAACAAAAGGUAUCUUAAUUUGUUGCUUUAUAAAAAUAUAAAUUAACCUUUGUCAGCUGAAGCUACCAUUUAUACAAUAGUGUCCUCCUAAAAGUGACCCCCAUCAGCCUUAAACUUGUAUAUCAUCCACUAAGUGUACAAUUGUUUGAAUAAACAGAUAUUUAACUCGGUCAUCUCAUUAGUUAACAACAUAUUGUAUUUAUAAAGCGUAAAAAAAAGCGUUAAAAAAAUUCACAUAUUUAAAUAGCCUGCUAUGAAGCCUAUAUUAAAUUAACAAAAAGUUUUAAAUAAAUCACCACAUGCAUUUGCUUUGCAAUGGUGUGAUUUGUUUUAUCCGUCCCAAUAAUGCAAAUUUGCUCAACUAUAACUGACUUCUUGAAAAAGCUGAAAUAGCCUCAUUUUGAGAACUUGCCAUUUACAUUCAUAUAUGUGUUAACUGGCUAUCCUAAAAAGAUAUUUCACUGCAAGAUGUUUUUACAUGCAGGCAUAUAAUUACUUCUAUCAUACCAUUUCCCUAAAAGAUGUUUUAUAAAAAAAAAAAUUUUCGAUUUGUAAGAUCUUCUGAAUCCUCUAGUUUUAUCUACGUUAUCCAAGUUUUCUUUUCAUUAUUAUAUUACAAAAUGUUAACAAAAGUCUUUUUUUUU
rnacentral:lncRNA from 1 species